GGUUGUGUAGUGUAAGGGUAACACCUCUGUUUGUAUUGAAGGUGAUAUGAUCUUGCCGCAGAUGAUGUGGGUUCGAAUCCCGCCGCAACCA